rnacentral:rRNA from 1 species
CCCUAGUAACGGCGAGUGAAGCGGCAACAGCUCAAAUUUGAAAUCUGGCGCAAGCCCGAGUUGUAAUUUGUAGAGGAUGCUUCUAGGUAGCGACCGGUCUAAGUUCCUUGGAACAGGACGUCAUAGAGGGUGAGAAUCCCGUAUGUGACCGGCCCGCACCUUCUACGUAGCUCCUUCGACGAGUCGAGUUGUUUGGGAAUGCAGCUCUAAAUGGGAGGUAAAUUUCUUCUAAAGCUAAAUACCGGCCAGAGACCGAUAGCGCACAAGUAGAGUGAUCGAAAGAUGAAAAGCACUUUGGAAAGAGAGUUAAAAAGCACGUGAAAUUGUUGAAAGGGAAGCGCUUACAACCAGACUUCUGGGCGGUGUUCCGCCGGUCUUUUGACCGGUCUACUCGCCGUCCCGAGGCCAACAUCAUCUGGGACUGCYGGAUAAGACCUCAGGAAUGUAGCUUCCCUCGGGAAGUGUUAUAGCCUGUGGUGAUGCAGUGCGUCUCGGGUGAGGUCCGCGCUUCGGCAAGGAUGUUGGCGUAAUGGUUGUCAGCGGCCCGUCUUGAAACACGGACCAAGGAGUCUAACAUCUAUGCGAGUGUUCGGGUGUCAAACCCCUACGCGUAAUGAAAGUGAACGGAGGUGGGAAGCGUAAGCUGCACCAUCGACCGAUCCUGAUGUCCUCGGAUGGAUUUGAGUAAGAGCAUAGCUGUUGGGACCCGAAAGAUGGUGAACUAUGCCUGAAUAGGGUGAAGCCAGAGGAAACUCUGGUGGAGGCUCGCAGCGGUUCUG